CAAAGAUGUUUCCGGCUCAAGACCCUUAAGAGGGAAGGCUAGCUGAAGAAACAAGAAAACGCUAUCAGCGUCCGGAAUGUUUCCAGCUGCCAUUUUGGGGAGCAGCAGACGCAAUACCUGAGGGAUUCAAUAAGGGUACAGGACAACUAAGGUACAGCAAGGAAAAACAAGCAACAACAAAACCAUACAAAAUCCAAAAUCAAAAGAGAAAUGAAUGGAGAACUGUGGUAGUGUGUUUUUCAGCUGUAAUUGUUUAAGUUGUUAAUGUGUUUUAUUCCAAAGGUUUGUAAUGGUUUAUUCCUAUGUACCCGUACCUUCUGUUAAAGUGGUCUAGCCUUAUGUUAAGCCCUUCCCCUGCACCCUUCCAUCAAUCCUUGUACCUGCCCCCUUUUCCAGUCUCUUCCAUGUCAGUCUAUGUAGUCCUGCCCCUGCCAUCCAUCAAUCAUUGUAACCCCUGCCUUUUAUCUAGAAUCUUCCCUAUCAUUUAUGUAAUCCCUAACCUUCCAUUGGUUGUGGAUGUUUGCUCUCCUGCCCCCAUGUACCUUAUUAGUUGUAUGUUAAUGCAGUCCCACCUCAUGCUCCUCCCUUAAGCUAGCUGGUUGGUUGUUAGGCUGUCCCCCUGCUACUUCAGAGACCGCCCCCCCUUUAUAAGUUGCUGCACUGCCUUGUUCUGUGCUCUUUGUCUUUGCUUUCCUUCAUGUGUGAUAGUUUCCUCUUUGUCUUUGCUUUUCCUUUGUGUGUUACAUCUGCUCGCUCCCUCUCAGGGGAGGAAUAAAAGCCACU